AAUCUCUUAUAAUUAACUGGCUGUGUGCCACCAAAACUAUAUUAUUCACCAAAACCAAAGCACUUAUUACUUAAUAAAUAAUAUUUUUUUAUUACCAGUAAUUCCAACACUGCCUUCACUUUCUAAAGCUUCUGAGAUGCGGAACUGAUCAAUAACCUUAUAAGUAUCUAAUUGAUCUUCUUAAGGCAGUUAACAUAUGUGUAACUUGAGAAAGAAACAAAUAGCUUGCGAAACCAAACCCACUGGCUCUUGUGCUGAGCCAUUGCAGCUAAGCUCCUUCUGGGAUGUUCAUUUAGCAAACAAUGCCUUACUCCGCUUAAAUGGAACUUAGCAGAUAGAAGGGACAGCCAUAUGUCAACUGGUCCACUGUACUUGCGCAAUAUGCUAGUGCUAAUAAGCUCCCAGGCAUCAACUUCUUUAUGUGAAGUAUCUUGCAACAGUUUUCGUACACCUUGAUGAACGUCUUGAUGGUUACAGUGACCUGAGACUCCAUAAUUAUCAAAAGUUAUGACCAAAUCAAUUGCAGAAUUGACAAUUUCCUUCUUGAUAAUCUUUGACAAUAACUUAGAGUUCCAUGAUUUGCCAAAACCAUCCUGUAGAUCUGGAUGGUCAAGGACUUUCACUUGCUUUUGUGGAACCUUAAGCACAACCGAGGCUAAAUAAAGUUCUUCUUUUCUGACAUCGCCUAUACCAUCUGCAUUACCUUUUGACAUGCAUAAUAUGUG
rnacentral:misc_RNA from 1 species